rnacentral:rRNA from 1 species
UACGUAGGGGGCAAGCGUUGUCCGGAUUUAUUGGGCGUAAAGAGCGUGUAGGCGGCCAUGUAGGUCCGUUGUGAAAACUCGAGGCUCAACCUCGAGACGCCGAUGGAAACCAUGUGGCUAGAGUCCGGAAGAGGAGAGUGGAAUUCCUGGUGUAGCGGUGAAAUGCGCAGAUAUCAGGAAGAACACCCGUGGCUAAGGCGGCUCCCUAGUACGGUACUGACGCUGAGACGCGAAAGCGUGGGGAGCGAACAGG